rnacentral:rRNA from 1 species
AGAUUAAGUUAUUAAGGGCGCACGGUGGAUGCCUUGGCACUAGAAGCCGACGAAGGACGUUACUAACGACGAUAUGCUUUGGGUAGCUGUAAGUAAGCGUUGAUCCAGAGAUUUCCGAAUGGGG